rnacentral:rRNA from 1 species
GGCGGACGGGUGAGUAAUGCUUGGGAACUUGCCUUUGCGAGGGGGAUAACAGUUGGAAACGACUGCUAAUACCGCAUAAUGUCUUCGGACCAAACGGGGCUUAGGCUCCGGCGCAAAGAGAGGCCCAAGUGAGAUUAGCUAGUUGGUAGGGUAACGGCUUACCAAGGCGACGAUCUCUAGCUGUUCUGAGAGGAAGAUCAGCCACACUGGGACUGAGACACGGCCCAGACUCCUACGGGAGGCAGCAGUGGGGAAUAUUGUACAAUGGGGGGAACCCUGAUGCAGCCAUGCCGCGUGUGUGAAGAAGGCCUUCGGGUUGUAAAGCACUUUCAGUUGUGAGGAAAAGUUAGUAGUUAAUACCUGCUAGCCGUGACGUUAACAACAGAAGAAGCACCGGCUAACUCCGUGCCAGCAGCCGCGGUAAUACGGAGGGUGCGAGCGUUAAUCGGAAUUACUGGGCGUAAAGCGCAC